CGCGUUUCUUCUUCUGCGGUUUUGUGACGCCGAACUUCCUGUUUCUUUGUCUAAACAACGUUGUGCUCACGCGUCGUAGGAGAAACGCUCUGAACAGCGACGUGUGUGUGUGUGAGCUGGAGAGCAUGCUAGCGGAUGGCUAACACUUAAAUUAGCGCCCUUGGAACGGCGGAAUGAGUUUUCACGGUGCUUAUGGUACACGGCGCUGGUCGAGAGUGAGAAUAAAUCAACACCCGUUUGAAACUCUCUGCGUCUUGCUGAAUGAAUCCAAGGGGCCGCUACAUCAUGUUCUCUGGUCUGAUUCUUCUCCUCGCUCCUCUGGAGUUUGAUCGGCGUACCAUGUUGGGCUGCCAGGAUCGAGCUCCAACACAUUUGUCAAUACACCACCAGAAGUCGUCCUCUGAUUCUCCUCUCCACGCGAACACUGCGGUGCCUGAGAGAAAAGGAUGUGUAAAGAGUGUGAGGAUCAAAACAGGAAGUGAAGAACCUGAAGAGUUUGGUGAAGGAGCUGAUUCUGAGCUCUACCUGCUUCAGCCAGAGCAGCGGCCACAGCGUUCUGAGUGGAGAAGAUGUUACAGGCCGACCAGCGACACUGAGCGCCCAACGCAACCAGACUCUCAAUCAACACCUGCAAGAGUCCGCAAACAUACAGAGGACGUUUUUAUUAUAAAAUAGGUUUACAUGUUACUUUAAUGCACAUAUGUAUGAUGCACUAUGGAUAUCACACAUUAUAUGCACUGCAAAACAUCAAAAAGAAAUGUAGUCAAUUCAACUAAUCUUUUCUAGUUUAUUUAACCCUUGUGUUGUCUUAGGGUCAAAAAUGACCUGGUUACUAUGUUUAAUAACAGAGAAAAUCCCCUAAAUGAUUUCAGCUUGAGAUUUGAAGACUUUCCCUAAAAUUACCCCAACAUUAGAAAAAGCAAAACAUUGUCUACUGAAGCCGUGAGUCUAGUUUUUAGUUUUCAACCACCAGUAGGUCAUAGAUGUGAUUUUUUCAGACAUCCAGGAGGUGAAACUGUAAAACAAAUGCAUUUGUAAAGUCCAUGUACACACACUUGCAUGCUGUCCUAGAUAUGCUAAUAAGAGUUUAAUAUGUUCUUUAUAUUUCCGUUUUGCAUCUAUUGUUGUAUUUUAUUCUUAUUGUUGUUGUGGGUGGGAGCAAUGAUUUAAAAGAUGUGAGAAGAUUAGUAUUUUGUAGUUGAGUUUUUGCAGUUGAAUUCCAUUGUACAGUAUACAGAACACUAUUGGUGUUUCCCUUCAACAAAUGCAUUCAAAGCUACUUUCUGGUACUUUCUUCAGAUAAAUAAUUAGUAUCACUUGCUGAACAAAUAAUGAUUGCACCUAUGGAGCACAUUUAGCAGUAAUAACACUGAUAACAAACCUCUACUUUAGUAAAGAAAACAGUUAUAAAAAUUUUCAGUCAAACUGCUCCAUUUUAGAGGCUCGGUGGAGGCGGGUUAUUUUUGACCCAUAGGACAAAGGGAGUGUACAGGAUGUUAAGACAACACGAGGGUUUAUGUAAAUAUGUGAGUUUUGCUAAUCUCUAGUUAACUGAACUUAAAAUGUAAUUUUUUUUUAAUUGACCAGUUUAAAGAGAACAAGAGUUUUAAAAACUUUUUUCAACUUGAGUUUAAUGACUGAACUGCUGAGAGUCCAUUCAACUCAUUAAACUCAAUUUAUAGGAAAAGAAGAACCUAGCAUACAAGCAAACUUCCCAUAAUGCUUUGUUAGGGAGCUGAAAUUACCAAGGGAAUGUUUUAUUUUUUUGGUAGUUUUAGAUAAUAGAGUUCAUAGAAACUUGCUGUGUGUCUUAAAUACAUGUUAAAUCAAUUCAUGAUUGUUUCUUUUUAAAAUAAUCAAAACAAAU